CCUACGGGAGGCAGCAGUGGGGAAUAUUGCACAAUGGGGGAAACCCUGAUGCAGCAACGCCGCGUGAGUGAUGAAGGCCUUCGGGUUGUAAAGCUCUGUCUUUUGGGACGAUAAUGACGGUACCAAAGGAGGAAGCCACGGCUAACUACGUGCCAGCAGCCGCGGUAAU
rnacentral:rRNA from 1 species